CAGGAUCAGCUGCACCUGGACCUGGUGCGCCCUUGUCUAAAAAGAUCUGCUGGUUUCCCUCCUUCACUCUCUGACUCUCUGGCCCUCAGCCUGACCGACGUUUGUUGUUGCUUUAGUUAUUUAUGCAGAGUGUGUGCAGGUGUUAACAUCUUGAUGCUGUGCUGGACCCAUUCAUUAUCAUCCCAGCAGGAAAAAGCGUUUGCAGCUUCCUUUGUAGGAAACUGGGCAGGGUGAACGGCCGAGCCGCUCCGAAAAUGAACAACAGAUCUGCGGUCUGGGAAGCAUUUGGCAGCAUGAUCCUGCAGUUAGGUGGCUGUGUGCGGAACUAUUUGAUGUGUGAAAUUGUGCUUUUAUGUUAAUGUGCAUGUGUGCAUGAACAAAGGUGCUUUCAUAAAUCUAUGUUUUUUUUUAUGUUGGCUGUGCAUGUUUGUGCACAUGUGAGUGUAUCUAUGCAAAUAUUCCUCAGUUCAGUGUGUGUGUGUGUGUGUGUGUGUGUGUGUGUGUGUGUGUGUGUGUGUGUGUGUGUGUGUGUGUGUGUGUGUGUGUGUGUGUGUGUGUGUGUGUGUGUAAGCCUCUUCAUCUUAGUCCUCCUGCAUGUCAAUGAAUUUCCUGCUGUUCUGAUUCUGAAUGAAACUAUGAGCUCAGAGCUUCCCUCUGGGUUUGAACAAAGACACUGUGUACAGGAUCUGUUGUUUUGGUUUUUUUGUUUUUAUUUGGGGGGGUGGACCCAGGAAAUAGCAGGGCCCCCGUCUAAAAAACAACCAAACAUCUGAGACCAACAUGAGACUGUUCAAAUGUCGGUCUGUGUUGAGCAGUUUCCUCAGUAAGAAGGCAAAGUCAGGUGACGAAUAGCGAGUCAUAAAUAUAGAGGAGUUAGCUUUUUAUGUCUUUGAAUUUGACCUGUGUGGAUAAUGAGGUGCAGUUCCAGGCAACACUCGGCUUCAACAUAUUGCACCUGGCUUUCGAGCAGCUUGUUUACUGGACAAUAACCUGUUAUUGUUGAGGUUGAAAACAAAUCUGAGUCAUUGCGUUUUAAGACAGUAAGAAUGCGGAUAAGUACACUCUUAUCUGUUGUGACAUUGUUUUGUUCAGCCAAUUUUUCUGGACAUAAUGGAUCUUCGUCCCAUAAUCCUUUGUGUUUAAGGCUUGUUCUCCCUGGUUACAUAAUUCACCAUAUUAAAGUAAAGGUUGUUGUCCUCUGUAGUCACGCUCAAGGUUGGCAGCUCAAAAUGUUUUAUCCACAGAGUAAUGUGCUUUAUUUCUCCUUUCAUUGUCACUUUUGUAAAACGUAUGAAUUGAAAAUAAAUUAUUUGCCCUCAUUAAAGAAAUUAAA